ACGGAUGAAUGUUUAACCUAUCGUUAUCUGUGAGCGGUCGGUGGGACUUUCGUUCGUGC
rnacentral:pre_miRNA from 1 species